UACGUAGGGUGCAAGCGUUAAUCGGAAUUACUGGGCGUAAAGCGUGCGCAGGCGGUGAUGUAAGACAGGUGUGAAAUCCCCGGGCUUACCACUGGGAACUGCAUUGUGAUCUGCAUCGCUGGAGUGCGGCAGAGGGGGAUGGAAUUCCGCGUGUAAGCAGUGAAAUGCGUAGAGAUGUGGAGGAACACCGAUGGCGAAGGCAGCCCUCGGUCGCGACACUGACGCUCAUGCACGAAAGGCGUGGGGAGCAAACAGGAUUAGACUACCGUG
rnacentral:rRNA from 1 species